rnacentral:rRNA from 1 species
CGAGGUGGGCGGGACGGGUGAGUAAUGUCUAGGGAAACUGCCUGAUGGGAGGGGGUAACUACUGGAAACGGUAGCUAAUACCGCAUAACGUCGCAAGACCAAAGAGGGGGACCUUAGGGCCUCUUGCCAUCGGAUGUGCCCAGAUGGGAUUAGCUAGUAGGUGGGGUAACGGCUCACCUAGGCGACGAUCCCUAGCUGGUCUGAGAGGAUGACCAGCCACACUGGAACUGAGACACGGUCUAG